rnacentral:rRNA from 1 species
GAGUCAUUGGGACUCUAAUAAACCUAAAGGCGUAAUGAAAGUAAAAGUCCGCCUUGUGCGGACUUAGGGAGGAUGGGACCGUUCUUGUGACGGACCCCGCACUCCCGGGGCGUCUCGUUCUCAUCGCGAGAAGAGGCGCACCUAGAGCGUACACGCUGGGACCCGAAAGAUGGUGAACUAUGCCUGGUCAGGACGAAGUCAGGGGAAACCCUGAUGGAGGUCCGUAGCGAUUCUGACGUGCAAAUCGAUCGUCGGAACUGGGUAUAGGGGCGAAAGACUAAUCGAACCUUCUAGUAGCUGGUUCCCUCCGAAGUUUCCCUCAGGAUAGCUGGCGCUCGCAUUGCGAGUCUCAUUCGGUAAAGCGAAUGAUUAGAGGCAUUGGGGUCGAAACGGCCUCAACCUAUUCUCAAACUUUAAAUGGGUGAGAUCUCCGGCUUGCUUAAAUAGUGAAGCCGCGAGAUUAAAUUCGGAUCAAUGAGUGCCAAGUGGGCCACUUUUGGUAAGC